GCACAUUGACCAGACCAAGUCACCAAUGACUGCCUAACUGCAAGGGGACUAUAAAUACCAGGGGAAGACUAUUCCCCUGAGGCACUACAGACCCUAGGUUCCUGAGUCAUUUCAUGGAACACGGCACCUGGAUACUUGCACUGGACCAUAACACAGGUAAGACGCUGAGAGCAUUGCACAACCUUAGUCAGAAGUAAUGGGCUUGGAAGCUCCUUGCUGUAGUCGUGGUGAUUUGGAAUGUCCUUUGACCCUCUACUGGAUUUAAUGCCAAUGGAGAGAAAAUGAAAGCCCUACUUAAGCAACGGACUUUAGAGGAGAUGAUCAGAUCUCCUGGCUUCCUUUCUGAGGAAUGAAGAGGAAACUUUUGCUGCUAGACAUGCAACUGCCUUUUGAUCUGAAGUAGAAAAUCCUCAGGCUCUAUUCCAUUACUCAUUUAGAUGAUUGCUGAAUGGCACCUUCAGGCUAGAUUUUAUGGUUGCUUUAAUAAAUUUGUAGUUCACUCACAUUAAUGUCUAUAUAUUAAUAAAGCAUUUCUCUA
rnacentral:lncRNA from 1 species